rnacentral:rRNA from 1 species
UACGGAGGGUGCAAGCGUUAAUCGGAAUUACUGGGCGUAAAGCGCACGCAGGUGGCUGAGUCAGUCGAUUGUGAAAGCCCUGGGCUUAACCUGGGAAUUGCAGUCGAUACUACUCAGCUAGAGUAUGGGAGAGGGUAGUGGAAUUCCCGGUGUAGCGGUGAAAUGCGUAGAUAUGCGGAGGAACACCGAUGGCGAAGGCAAUCCCCUGGGCCGGCACUGACGCUGAUGCACGAAAGCGUGGGGAGCAAACAGG